CCUACGGGUGGCAGCAGUGAGGAAUAUUGGUCAAUGGGCGCGAGCCUGAACCAGCCAAGUCGCGUGAGGGAAGACGGUCCUAUGGAUUGUAAACCUCUUUUGUCGGGGAGCAAAAGACGCCACGCGUGGCGUUCCGAGAGUACCCGAAGAAAAAGCAUCGGCUAACUCCGUGCCAGCAGCCGCGGUAAUACGGAGGAUGCGAGCGUUAUCCGGAUUUCUUGGGUUUAAAGGGUGCGCAGGCGGAAGAUCAAGUCAGCGGUAAAAUUGGGAGGCUAAAACUCUUCGAGCCGGUUAAACUGGUUUUUGUUGGUCAGUGAGAAGUAUGGGGAAAGCGUGGUGGAGCGGUGGAAUGCAU
rnacentral:rRNA from 1 species